UCUACAUAUUGGUCAGGGAUGGGAAACUCCAGUCCUUAGGGGCCUGAUUGGUGGCACACUUUUGCCCCAGUCUUAGCUCACACACACCUGACUCCAAUAAUCAACUAAUCAUGGUAUUCUGUUUAGAAUACAAUUAGUUUGAGACCAGACCAGAGCUGACCAGACCAGAGCUGACCAGACCAGAGCUGACCAGACCAGAGCUGAAGACUUGGGACACGGGACCAGGGAGAAGCAGCAGGGAUGGAGCUUCUCAAAUGAACCGUGUAGCAGAGCCGGUGAGAAGCCAGUCAUCCCUGAUAUACAGUCAAGAGGCAAAGUUAAACAAAUAGCUCCAUCCCCUGACCACCUCAGAUGUUGUUUUUUUUUUUUUUUUUUUUAACACUAUGAAUAAAUGUCAUCAAAAUGAUUGCAUACAAAC